CUUGUCCUAAAAUUCUCUCUGUCUUCUCUUUAGAUUUUCUCUUCACUAAACCGAUCAAAUUUUGAUUUGAAGGUGUUUCCGCGCUCGCUGCACCAAACGUUUUUCCAUUCCGAUCGAUGCUGUCAAACUCGCCUCGGAGGUACUGCUAGAGCGUUCCUAAGAGUGGUACUGUUAAGCUUUCCAGAAGAUGGAGGUUGAUUAAGGAGGCGCAAAAUGCGAGGCAUAUUCGAUUGCAACGGAGGAAGUAGUUGUUGAUUCAUUGUAUUGCAUGCUGAACACGUGAUCGAUCUGGUUUAUUACUUUAUUUAAGCCACCUUUGAAGAUUUCAAUGUCAAAGCCCUUGAUCUCAUCGUUCAAUUCAAACUAAUCACUCAUACCAAAUGGGUAGGUGGGGAGUGGAGAGACUGCCUAAUUAGUUUCUCACUUUGCUCUUCAAAUAACUUAAAAGACAUCACAAAC